rnacentral:tRNA from 4 species
GGCACCGUAGCUCAGCUGGUCAGAGCGUGGGACUCAUAAGCCCGAGGUCACUGGUUCGAGCCCAGUCGGUGCUACCA